AGUGAACGCUGGCGGUAGGCCUAACACAUGCAAGUCGGACGGCAGCACAGUAAGAGCUUGCUCUUACGGGUGGCGAGUGGCGGACGGGUGAGGAGUACAUCGGAAUCUACUUUUUCGUGGGGGAUAACGUAGGGAAACUUACGCUAAUACCGCAUACGACCUACGGGUGAAAGCAGGGGAUCUUCGGACCUUGCGCGAUUGAAUGAGCCGAUGUCGGAUUAGCUAGUUGGCGGGGUAAAGGCCCACCAAGGCGACGAUCCGUAGCUGGUCUGAGAGGAUGAUCAGCCACACUGGAACUGAGACACGGUCCAGACUCCUACGGGAGGCAGCAGUGGGGAAUAUUGGACAAUGGGCGCAAGCCUGAUCCAGCCAUACCGCGUGGGUGAAGAAGGCCUUCGGGUUGUAAAGCCCUUUUGUUGGGAAAGAAAAGCAGCAGGUUAAUACCCCGCUGUUCUGACGGUACCCAAAGAAUAAGCACCGGCUAACUUCGUG
rnacentral:rRNA from 1 species